rnacentral:rRNA from 1 species
CAAUAGCGUAUAUUAAAGUUGUUGCAGUUAAAAAGCUCGUAGUUGGACCUUGGGCCUGGACGGGCGGUCCGCCUCACGGCGUGUACUGUCUUGCCGGGCCUUUCCUCUUGGUGAUCUGUUGUUUCGGCAGCAGGGAACCAGGACCUUUACUUUGAAAAAAUUAGAGUGUUCAAAGCAGGCUCGACGCCGGAAUAUAUUAGCAUGGAAUAAUAAAAUAGGACGUGCGGUUCUAUUUUGUUGGUUUUUGGAAUCGCCGUAAUGAUUAAUAGGGACAGUCGGGGGCAUUAGUACUCACAUGCUAGAGGUGAAAUUCUUGGAUUUACUGAAGACUAACUACUGCGAAAGCAUUUGCCAAGGACGUUUUCAUUAA